CAGCAGCCGCGGGAAUACAGAGGGUGCAAGCGUUAAUCGGAAUUACUGGGCGUAAAGCGCGCGUAGGUGGUUUGUUAAGUUGGAUGUGAAAGCCCCGGGCUCAACCUGGGAACUGCAUCCAAAACUGGCAAGCUAGAGUACUGUAGAGGGUGGUGGAAUUUCCUGUGUAGCGGUGAAAUGCGUAGAUAUAGGAAGGAACACCAGUGGCGAAGGCGACCACCUGGACUGAUACUGACACUGAGGUGCGAAAGCGUGGGGAGCAAACAGGAUUAGAUACCCCGGUAGUCCCUGUCUCUUAUAC
rnacentral:rRNA from 1 species